rnacentral:lncRNA from 1 species
ACAUUAGUCUUCAUCAUUUUAUUCACUUCCCUUUUUUUUUUUUUAAUAUCCUAAAUAAAACCUCCAAAUAUUGUACUAAUUCAUUAUAUAUAAAUGAUUAUGGUGUGUUUAGACUUCUUUCAUUAAUUACUACAUAUUUUCUACACUCACAAUGUUUGUCAGCUCGAUAUAUAAUCAACUUGAUAAUGAUAAAUCCAUCAUGCAAUGCAUUUCCUUCCAAUUUUUUGUGAUAAACUAAUAGAUAAUUGACUAAAUAAACAUCCUACAAAGUUUCAAUAAAAAUUUCCAAGUUUUUCUUACAAUUUCUGUGGUUUCCAUGUAAUUUUUAUCGAUAUCGAUAUUUUACCGAUAUUUCCAUCGAUAUUUCCGUGUUUUCGGACUACCGAUAUUUCCGAUAUUACCGAUAUUUUCUUCCUUGGUGUAGAAAUAGGACAAUAGGGUGGGUCUAUCAUCACUCUUGUUUUAUAGUAGAACUCAACUUUCUUCA